rnacentral:rRNA from 1 species
AUGAAGGCUCCACACCUUCCCUUUUCAUGCAAAUUUAAUGAUGAUAAAACCUUGGCUUCUUAUGCUAAUGGUAUGUAUGAUUACUAUGAUGUGGAACAAAUAGAAGAAUUCGUUGCUUUUAUGGGUGCUUAUGAGAUUGAAUCUAUGUUUAAAGAGUUUGAAGAUUUUGAUGAUUCAGUUUACAGACCUAAAAUUUUUGCUAUACUUAGAUAUUGCUAUAAAAAUUAUGAAUACAAUUGCAAUAUUGAUGCAUUUAUUGAGAAAGUCUCCGCUGUCCAAGAAGAGACUAAUAUUUUGCAGGAAGCUAUGGAAGAAGAAAUUGAUGAAACUAUGAGCUCAUUGGAUGAAAAAGAUGAUGAAGAGAGCGAAGAACAAAAGGAGGAAGAGUGGAUUAGCUACCCGUGCCCACCUUCUAAUGAGAGUAACUCUUCAACUCAUACAUUGUUUAAUUCCCGUUCGUGCUUACCAAAGGAUGAUUGCUAUGAUCCCUUUUAUUCGUUUGAAAUAUUCCUUUUUGAUGAUGCCUGCUAUGCUUGUGGACAAGAUGCCAAUAUGAAUGAUGCUUAUGGAGAUGAACUUGCUAUAGUUCCUUAUGUUAAACAUGAAAUUGUUGCUAUUGCACCCACGCAUGAUAGUCCUAUUAUCUUUUUGAAUUCUCCCAACUACACCAUAUCGGAGAAGUUUAUGCUUAGUAAGGAUUAUAUUGAUGGGUUUCCUUUUACCAUUGCACAUGAUGAUUUUGGUAGAUAUAAUAUGCAUGUGCUUGCUGCUCUUACUUGCAAUUAUUAUGAGAGAGGAACUAUAUCUCCACCUCUCUAUGUUUCCAAUGUGAUAGAAUUGCAAGAAACUGCUUAUACUAUGCAUUGGCCUUUACUAUGUGUGCAUGAAUUGUUCUUUUAUGACAUGCCGAUGCAUAGGAAGAGAGUUAGACUUCGUUGUUGCAUGAUAUAUGUUACUUUGUGCUCACUAUUAAAUUACAAAUCAUUGUUAAUUAAAAUUGGCUUUGAUAUACCUUGGGAUCCGGGUGGAUUCAUUACUUGA